rnacentral:misc_RNA from 1 species
UCCGGUUUGUCACCGGCAGUCUCCCUAGAGUGCCCUUGCGUAGCAACUAAGGGCGAGGGUUGCGCUCGUUGCGGGACUUAACCCAACAUCUCACGACACGAGCUGACGACAGCCAUGCAGCACCUGUGUCCACGCCCCUUGCGGGGAGGAAUCCAUCUCUGGAAACCGUCGUGGCAUGUCAAGGGCUGGUAAGGUUCUUCGCGUUGCUUCGAAUUGAACCACAUGCUCCACCGCUUGUGCAGGCCCCCGUCAAUUCCUUUGAGUUUUAGUCUUGCGACCGUACUCCCCAGGCGGAGUGCUUAAUGCGUUAGCUGCGGCACAGAGCGGGUUGAAGACCGCCCCACACCUAGCACUCAUCGUUUACGGCAUGGACUAC